rnacentral:tRNA from 1 species
UCCCUGGUGGUCCAGUGGAUAAGGACUCAGCACUUUCACUGCUGUCACCUGGGUUCAAUCCCUGGUCAAGGAA